AUUGAACGCUGGCGGCAGGCCUAACACAUGCAAGUCGAACGGUAACAGGAAGAAGCUUGCUUCUUUGCUGACGAGUGGCGGACGGGUGAGUCAUGUCUGGGAAACUGCCUGAUGGAGGGGGAUAACUACUGGAAACGGUAGCUAAUACCGCAUAACGUCGCAAGCCCAAAAAGGGGGACCUUCGGGCCUCUUGCCAUCGGAUGUGCCCAGAUGGGAUUAGCUAGUAGGUGGGGUAACGGCUCACCUAGGCGACGAUCCCUAGCUGGUCUGAGAGGAUGACCAGCCACACAGGAACUGAGACACGGUCCAGAGUCCGAGGGGAGGCAGCAGUGGGGAAGAUUGCACAAUGGGCGCAAGCCUGAUGCAGCCAUGCCGCGUGUAUGAAGAAGGCCUUCGGGUUGUAAAGUACUUUCAGCGGGGAGGAAGGGAGUAAAGUUAAUACCUGUGCUCAUUGACGUUACGCGCAGAAGAAGCACCGGCUAACUCCGU
rnacentral:rRNA from 1 species